UACGGAGGAUGCGAGCGUUAUCCGGGUUUAUUGGGUUUAAAGGGUGCGUAGGCGGACGCUUAAGUCAGCGGUAAAAUUGCGGGGCUCAACCUCGUCGAGCCGUUGAAACUGGGUGCCUUGAGUGGGCGAGAAGUACGCGGAAUGCGUGGUGUAGCGGUGAAAUGCAUAGAUAUCACGCAGAACUCCGAUUGCGAAGGCAGCGUACCGGCGCCCUACUGACGCUGAAGCACGAAGGCGUGGGUAUCGAACAGG
rnacentral:rRNA from 1 species